GUAGAUCUACCAGGUGCAGGGAAGCACUCCACACCCUCACCCAGGUCCUGUAUCCCUGCAAGACUGCGUUGGAAAGACUGAAGAGGUAAGAAUAUACCGAUUUAAUUGCGGAUUCCGGGUCACAUUUCACGUUUCCAUGCUCUUUCUUUGAAGUAAUUUUUAAUUUAAAAUCUUAGGCUCUUGGAUUAUUUGGGUUUGUAUGGUUGAAUGAAACUAUCAUUGACCUUAGGUAUAUUUAUUUCUUCUUGGUAUCAGACCUAGUAUGAUGGAGGCACAAACCUGUUUUGCGUUUUUCUUUACUCACUCUACUUAUUAAGCACCUACCUACCAUGUACAGGGUAACUGUUCUAGGGGCUAUAGAUGUUGUAUUUCAGGUUUGUCUACUCAGUUUUCUUUUUCUGGGUCACUUUGCAUCUUUAUCGCUGGGCUUCGUAAAAGACUAAUAAUAAUCCGCUUCAUCUGUAUAGUGCUUUACAGCUUACAGAGCACUUUUACAAAAAUUGUCUCAUGUGAUCCUCCCACAUAAACCUCAGUUAAGCACAUGGCGUGGGAAGCAUCAUGGCUGAGUGCAAAGAACCUGGACCAUGAAUACAGAUCAACCUGAGUACCCAUUUUAUAGCUGAAGAAGCUGAGCCACUGUUUAGGGUCACGAACAGUUAUUCUCCUUACUACUACCUGUAAGUAGUAAGCCAGUGCUCCUUUCACAUGUUUGUGGACUAUCUGAGAAACUGCAUGCUAUAUGCACAUAUAAAGUGUGCUUCCCAGACUUACAGAAAGCAUACAACCCCAGAACCCACUCAUAUUCAGGUUCCCCCAAAGGACGUGAGGAUAAGAAUCUCUCAGUUCUCUGUGAAUUAUUAGUAAUUAGAUAAUACCACGUGUUUAAUUGUUCACAAUUAAUUCCUGUGGGAAUGAGGAAAUUACUAUCCUAACAUCAGCAGUGGGAGAUGCUUAGACCAAGGACAGAUUCUAUUUGGUUUUAUUUUAUAUGAUCCUCAGAAUUUUAUUUCUCAGAUUAUUGUUGAUGUCCAGAGAAUAACUCUCCCUCCAACCUCAGCCAUUCCCUUUGCUACACACAUACAUCAUUCAGUAUAUUUUUAAUUUUAUAAGUAGGUAAUCAGAGUAUUUUAUAUACUCUCUAAAAGAAACAACGGCAAAGCCCUUUACUGCAUGUGGCUCCUGGAUCUGGAGGGCAAUUCAUUAUAUCAAUAAGAUUCCCCAGCUCUGACUUACAGAAUGUGGGCUCUGAUUAGGUAAACUGACUUCCCCUGUUUGUUCCCUUUUAUACUUUAAUUAAAUAUAAAAUUACUUUAAUUAUUUAAAUAUGUAUGCAUUGGCAGUCUACUGUGUUUAAUAUAUUGAUUUAGACAUGAAGACAGGUUGGGAUGUCAUGAGCUUGGAAUCUUGAAAUCUUGAAAAUUCUGGAAUGUUUUCUCAAAACAAUUUACAUUAGAAUUAGCUGGGGUGCUUGUUAAAAAUUCAGUUAUCCAUCUUACUUUUACCAACUCAGAUUCUUCAGCCAUUUGCAUUGAUAGCCACUCCCCAGGCUGGAGUGCAGUGGCGCAAUCUUGGCUCACAGGAACCUCCGCCUCCCAGGUUCAAGAGAUUCUCAUGCCUCAGCCUCGCGAGUAGCUGGAAUUACAGGUGAGCGCCCAUGCCCAGCUACUUUUUUUUGUAUUUUUAGUAGAGACAGGGUUUCACCAUGUUGGCCAGGCUGGUCUCCAACUCCUGACCUCAAGUGAUCUGCCAGCCUCGGCUUCCCAAAGUGCUGGGAUUACAGGUGUGAGCCCAUGCACGCAGUGAAUUAGGCAUUUUAGGGAGAAUGGUAGGUCACUAGAAAUUUUGGGUUUCUGCACUAAGUGUUUCUGUUAUAAAAUUGAUAACUCACAAUCCAACUUAGUGGUGAAUAUGAUUUAGAAGAAUGUCUGGUUUUGGCUAAGAGAUGACUUUUCUUUUUUUUCCAGUUUGUAUCUGGCAUUAAUGAGGGAAGGUGCUGAUCAAUUUUUUUAUGUCCCUAAAAGAUGAGUCUUCUAUUCAGCAUUUCCCUAACUCAUACUUGUGCACAUCUCUCAGACCUACCAGAGUGGUGGUUCUCAAAUGUUGUGCACAAGAAUUACCCAAGAUGCUUUUUAAAGAGCAGAUUUCUGGGUUUAAUCCCUAGAAUUUCUGAAUC
rnacentral:lncRNA from 1 species